GGCCGGUUAGGUCAGUCAGUUAGAGCAUGGUGCUGAUAACACCAAGGUCGCGGGUUCAAUCCCCGUUCAGUCCC
rnacentral:tRNA from 1 species